AUGGUCAAAAAGCGUCGAUUAUCGUUUCAUUUAUCUGGUAAUGAUGUUUUCACUUCAUCAAAAUUUUAAACAUUAACAACUAGGCUGAUUACAAUUGUUAAAAUGUAAAUCAGAAUAAAUUAAAUUCAUUUGAAGUAAAAUAAAUUCCAUUAUACUCUAUUUCGACCAUAUGAUCAACACUUGUACAUAGUGCCAUUUACUUUGUAUUCUUCACUCUCGCGCUGUGUUGUGAUCGUUCGAAACUCCUUUUGGAAGGAUCGGUGCCGGAAGAUGCAGCGAAAAUUAUGAAAAGAUAAUAGAAAAGUGGUUAAGUUAAUCGUGAAAGAAGUCAACGCAGGCGUAAAUGCAGUUUGUUUUGUUACAUGAUCUACGGCUAUUUCAUCACCAAAGCUCCUGAUAACAGAUCAAAGCAGAUGGAUAGGGCAUACAGAGUCGCCGUUUAAUUUAAAAUAUCUUCGUGAUCGGCAAACGCAUCAAACAGCAAGUGUUUCUCUUCCAACAGCACGCACCAUCGGUGGAUCAAGCAGCUAACGAUUUGAUCGCCAGUACGCGCCAUCAAGAAUUGAUAUUUUGC